GAGGCCUCUCUUCUGAUAUCCUUCUUAACUUAAUCUACACUGGCUGUGGGUUCCCUUUAUUUUUUUUUCUGGAAUCCUAGAGGAUGCACGGAUACAAUUCACCCAAUGUGUCCAUCUCUCCUCUCCUAAGUGUCAGUCUAUAGGUUUCUGACCUCUAGAGGGUAAGCAACUUGCCCGAGAUCCCCUAGCUGGUCUGAGCAGCAAAGCCUUUGAACGCAGUUUUGACUCUGGAGCUGCAUUCUUCAUUCUUAUCCUACACUUGCUUGUGAAUUCUUUUUCGUCCUUCCAGAAUCCCUGAAGCUGUACAGCUAUACUUUACCGGUUACGUCUAGACUAUAAAGGACCACAGUGUUCCACCUCAGGCAGGUUCAGCGACCUGCAAGUAGUGAUACAGCUGGGAAAGUUACAGAGCCUGCGGGAAGCUCCGGCUGCAACUUCAGUUCUGACCAGAGGUUCUGUGAACCUUCAGGAUUUAGCAGGUUUCCAGGACCGGUCUAUAGACAUUCCUAAGAAACACGCAGUCAGCUUUUGGUGAGAGUGGAAUCAAGCUAUGGAAUUCUCAUUUGGAAUCUGCUUCCAGUUUCUGAACAGUGAAGCGGGAGAGUUCUGAACAGUAAAGCAGGAGCUCUGUAUUCAGCGAGACUCUGGGGCCUGGAAAGUGGGAUUACAGCAUCCAUUUUGUCUAAUUGCUUUCCUUCUUUCUUUUAUGUGGCUGCUAAAGCCCCAUGACCUUCACUA
rnacentral:lncRNA from 10 species